UUCAGAUACGGAGACCUGGUUCCAUUGAGUCCAUUCGGAAAAGUGGUCGGAAGUAUGUGUGCUUUGAUUGGAGUCCUCACACUUGCUCUUCCAGUUCCCAUUAUUGUAAGUCUA
rfam:Caenorhabditis tropicalis strain JT1373 unplaced genomic scaffold Scaffold629, whole genome shotgun sequence.